CCUACGGGAGGCUGCAGUAGGGAAUCUUUCACAAUGGGCGAAAGCCUGAUGGAGCAACGCCGCGUGCAGGAUGAAGGCCUUCGGGUUGUAAACUGCUUUUAUAAGCGAGAAAUAUGAUGGUAACUUAUGAAUAAGGAUCGGCUAACUACGUGCCAGCAGCCGCGGUCAUACGUAGGAUCCGAGCAUGAUACGGAGUGACUGGGUGUAAAGAGUUGCGUAGGUGGCAUAAUAAGUAGCUAGUGAAAUCUGGUGGCUUAACCAUUCAGACUAUUAGCUAAACUGUUAAGCUCGAGACCGUUAGGGGAAACUGGAAUUUCUAGUGUAGGAGUGAAAUCCGUAGAUAUUUGGAGGAACACCAGUAGCGUAGGCAGGUUGCUGGGACGGUUCUGACACUAAGGCACGAAAGCGUAGGGAGCAAACGGGAUUAGAUACCCCUGUAGUC
rnacentral:rRNA from 1 species